CAGACAGGUCCAGGGGGUGGGGUUAGUUGAGUUCAGGCUGUGUUCGCGGGCUGCAGCUCUGUGUUGAGCUCUCCAGAAAUAAUGGGUUUAUUUUGUGCAAAUUGUGUAUUUUAUCUCUUUAAUUCUGGUAUUAAAACAGCCUUUAUUGGGUCUGUAUUCCGCUGAAAUGCCCUGAGUCUGAGCGGAGCUGACUAACCCCACUGGAAGUGGAAGGAGAAGAAUCUGAAAUCAUGCGCAUUUUAGCUCAGUGCCACGUGGACAGAGCAAGGCCCAAUCAGGAGGAAUUCUGUAAGAGAUAAGGAAUUAUAGAAGUGAAGAAGUAUGCCCGGUCCGGACUCACCUGAGGCAGGGUCUAUUGGACCUAAAGAAGAGGAAGGUGGAAUUGCUGGUAUUAUGGUGUUGCUGUGACACUACAGGAUUGUUGAUUCAUACAAUAAAACUUAUUUUUAAGCAUA